ensembl:lncRNA
UGUAAAAAAACUUGCAAAGCUCUGAAAGCCAAAGAGCAGAUCACACAUUUUGCCUGAAGCUACAGAAUCUACUUCCACAGCAAAGAAACAGCAGAAAAGAGGAGAUAUUCUUAAAAUCUUGACAAAUGAAGAUGUACACUAACCUGAAGGAUGCACAAUGAAUGUGGAAGGAAAUGCAACAGAGUCCAUUUUCAAGGAAGGAAUGGGUGGAUCUUCUUUGAAGUAGCUCACAGAGACCAACCUAUACCCAAGAAGAUUUGGAAUGCAGUUGUUGCCCUAGGUAAAGCUCCAUACCACCCCUUGCACUACAUGGUGAGUAAACACAAUGCAUAUUUCCUUAGCUGAAAGCUGACAUACAACAAAACCAGAC